rnacentral:rRNA from 1 species
UACGUAGGGGGCAAGCGUUGUCCGGAUUUAUUGGGCGUAAAGAGCGUGUAGGCGGCUUGGUAGGUCCGCUGUGAAAACUCGAGGCUCAACCUCGAGAUGUCGGCGGAAACCACUUGGCUAGAGUCCGGAAGAGGAGAGUGGAAUUCCCGGUGUAGCGGUGAAAUGCGCAGAUAUCGGGGAAGAACACCUAUGGCGGAAGGCAGCUCUCUGGGACGG